rnacentral:sRNA from 1 species
GAGGUUUGCCUCAAAGGCACCUUCAAAACUCAAAGCCAGACAUUUGUCUGGCUUUUUUUUGCUUUACG